ensembl:lncRNA
UUAAGACUCUAGAAUAUCAGGAUUUAUGUAAAUUUACCUCAAUAAUAUGAAUGUUCGGGUUAAGAUUGUGCAGUGAUAUUUAUUCUGUAAGUUUAGCUGAUUAAAGUUUAUGACUCUGCACUACAAUAUUAUUAUUUAAAUUUACAUCAUUAUUAUAAUAUUUAGGGUCAGACUCUACAGUAUUGAGAUUAAGAAAUCAAAUAUUCUAUAAAAUGUAAAUACACUGAACUCAUUUGGAUAUAUUUAAGUGAGACUCUACAAUAUUAUUUGACACAAAUCUAUCUAAAUUAAAAUUUAAAUCAUUUUUACUCCAAACAUUUACUGGACUGAUUUGAAUAUUAAAAUCACUCCUUUCUAAUCCUCUGCUGUAUGUUCAAACCUGAGGCCUUAAAUAGAAACACACAAGUAUCUGAUUGAAGGAACUUCUGCAGAGUCCUGGUUCCAGAACAUGAUGAUAGAAUUAUAGACAAACUUUAACAAAAGCUGCCUGAGAGUUUACAGCUUUUUAUGUUAGAUUUCUUCAGUAAUUUAAUGAGUUAUCAGCAAAAAUCAAGUGUUCAUUUGAUGAACUUCAUUUCCUAAAACAUCCAGAAUUGGAGCUCAUAUCUUUGGCAGCUGUAAAGUUUCUGCUCCUUCAAAGUUCACAACACAAUGAAUGAAUUCCUAAAACACUCUCAAUGCUGGAGAGCUUUUGAUGCUGAAGCAGUGACCAGUUUUUCUGUUUCUUCUCUGGAGAUGCACAAUGAGGGACGUCUGCAGAGACUGAGAAAGAGUCUCACCACAUCCUGACAUGAGGAAAAAGACUUUAUUGAAGACUACAAUGAGAAAAACUAUCAGACAGCAGACGGCUGCAUUCAAGGCUACAGGAGGAGUCCUACGAGGACGAGCCAGUCCACCUGAUGGAGGCCAGUCGCUGCGGUUCAAAGCCAACACCGACUACGUGGACUUCUACUGGACCACACGGAGGCCUUCAAACCGGACCAACAAGUUCAGCGACUCCCCGACUCGUGGGUCUGAGGACGCCGCCGAGCCUCGGUCCAGCCGGCCUCCUGUCUGUGGGUGUUUGAGUGCUGAGAGAUGUUAAGUUAAAGGAGUUUUAUUCGUGACGUAUAACCAAUCAAAUCACUCCAGAAGACAGAGCGAC